rnacentral:tRNA from 1 species
UCCCUGGUGGUCCAGUGGUUAAGACUCAGUGCUCCAAGUGCAGGGGCCUGGGUUCAAUCCCUGGUCAGGGAA